AUUGAACGCUGGCGGCAUGCCUUACACAUGCAAGUCGAACGGCAGCACGGGUGCUUGCACCUGGUGGCGAGUGGCGAACGGGUGAGUAAUACAUCGGAACGUACCUUAUCGUGGGGGAUAACGCAGCGAAAGUUGCGCUAAUACCGCAUACGCCCUGAGGGGGAAAGCGGGGGACCGUAAGGCCUCGCGCGAUUAGAGCGGCCGAUGUCUGAUUAGCUUGUUGGUGAGGUAAAAGCUCACCAAGGGGAUGAUCAGUAGCUGGUCUGAGAGGACGAUCAGCCACACGGGGACUGAGACACGGCCCAGACUCCUACGGGAGGCAGCAGUGGGGGAUUUUGGACAAUGGGGGCAACCCUGAUCCAGCAAUGCCGCGUGAGUGAAGAAGGCCUUCGGGUUGUAAAGCUCUUUUGUCAGGGAAGAAACAGCAGCUCUAACACAGUCUGCGAAUGACGGUACCUGAAGAAUAAGCACCGGCUAACUACGUGCCAGCCGCCGCCGUAA
rnacentral:rRNA from 1 species